AUGAACGCUGGCGGCGUGCUUAACACAUGCAAGUCGAACGGAAAGGCCCAAGCUUGCUUGGGUACUCGAGUGGCGAACGGGUGAGUAACACGUGGGUGAUCUGCCCUGCACUUCGGGAUAAGCCUGGGAAACUGGGUCUAAUACCGGAUAGGACCACUUCUUGGAUGUUGUGGUGGAAAGUUUUUCGGUGUGGGAUGAGCUCGCGGCCUAUCAGCUUGUUGGUGGGGUAAUGGCCUACCAAGGCGUCGACGGGUAGCCGGCCUGAGAGGGUGUACGGCCACAUUGGGACUGAGAUACGGCCCAGACUCCUACGGGAGGCAGCAGUGGGGAAUAUUGCACAAUGGGCGCAAGCCUGAUGCAGCGACGCCGCGUGGGGGAUGACGGCCUUCGGGUUGUAAACUCCUUUCGCUAGGGACGAAGCUUAUUUUGUGACGGUACCUGGAGAAGAAGCACCGGCUAACUACGUG
rnacentral:rRNA from 1 species